AUUGAUUUUAUGCCUGCAUAAAUGAUUUUUGGAUUCGGAGCGAGUGGCGAACUGGUGAGUGACACGUGGGUAACCUGCCCCGAAGCGGGGGAUAACAUUUGGAAACAAGUGCUAAUACCGCAUAAUUAGUUGGAACCGCAUGGUUCCAACUUGAAAGAUGGCUCUGCUAUCACUUUGGGAUGGACCCGCGCCGUAUUAGUUAGUUGGUGAGAUAAAAGCCCACCAAGACGGUGAUACGUAGCCGACCUGAGAGGGUAAUCGGCCACAUUGGGACUGAGACACGGCCCAGACUCCUACGGGAGGCAGCAGUAGGGAAUCUUCCACAAUGGACGAAAGUCUGAUGGAGCAACGCCGCGUGAGUGAUGAAGGUUUUCGGAUCGUAAAACUCUGUUGUUAAAGAAGAACAAGUGUUAGAGUAACUGUUAACACUUUGACGGUAUUUAACCAGAAAGCCACGGCUAACUACGUGCCAGCAGCCGCGGUAAUACGUAGGUGGCAAGCGUUGUCCGGAUUUAUUGGGCGUAAAGCGAGCGCAGGCGGUUUUGUAAGUCUGCUGUGAAAGCCCUCAGCUCAACUGAGGAAGUGCAGUGGAAACUACAAAACUUGAGUACAGAAGAGGAAAGUGGAACUCCAUGUGUAGCGGUGAAAUGCGUAGAUAUAUGGAAGAACACCAGUGGCGAAGGCGGCUUUCUGGUCUGUUACUGACGCUGAGGCUCGAAGGCAUGGGUAGCGAACAGGAUUAGAUACCCUGGUAGUCCAUGCCGUAAACGAUGAAUACUAGGUGUUGGAGGGCUUCCGCCCUUCAGUGCCGCAGCUAACGCAUUAAGUAUUCCGCCUGGGGAGUACGACCGCAAGGUUGAAACUCAAAGGAAUUGACGGGGGCCCGCACAAGUGGUGGAGCAUGUGGUUUAAUUCGAUGCUACGCGAAGAACCUUACCAGCUCUUGACAUCUUCUGCCAACCCAAGAGAUUGGGCGUUCCCUUCGGGGACAGAAUGACAGGUGGUGCAUGGUUGUCGUCAGCUCGUGUCGUGAGAUGUUGGGUUAAGUCCCGCAACGAGCGCAACCCUUAUUAUUAGUUGCCAGCAUUUAGUUGGGCACUCUAGUGAGACUGCCGGUGAUAAA
rnacentral:rRNA from 1 species